rnacentral:rRNA from 1 species
UACGGAGGGAGCUAGCGUUGUUCGGAAUUACUGGGCGUAAAGCGCACGUAGGCGGCUUUGUAAGUCAGUGGUGAAAUCUCCGGGCUCAACCCGGAAACUGCCAUUGAUACUAUCAGUCUUGAAUCUUGUUGAGGUAGGCGGAAUAUAUCAUGUAGCGGUGAAAUGCUUAGAUAUGAUAUAGAACACCGAUUGCGAAGGCAGCUUACUAAACAAGCAUUGACGCUGAGGCACGAAAGCGUGGGGAUCAAACAGG